rfam:Brassica napus, WGS project CCCW01000000 data, contig: 17744
GGAAUAUAAAAAAUCGUUUCUUAAUUUUUAACUAAAAAAAUUAAAAACCGGCUAUUAGAUAUCUUAUUUAAAAACCUAUCUAACAGCCGUUUCUUAGUUUUUUUAGUUAAAAAUUAAGAAACGAUUUUUUAUAUUCC